rnacentral:rRNA from 1 species
GUGGGGAAUAUUGGACAAUGGGCGAAAGCCUGAUCCAGCCAUGCCGCGUGUGUGAAGAAGGUCUUCGGAUUGUAAAGCACUUUAAGUUGGGAGGAAGGGCAUUAACCUAAUACGUUAGUGUUUUGACGUUACCGACAGAAUAAGCACCGGCUAACUUCGUGCCAGCAGCCGCGGUAAUACGAAGGGUGCAAGCGUUAAUCGGAAUUACUGGGCGUAAAGCGCGCGUAGGUGGUUCGUUAAGUUGGAUGUGAAAGCCACGGGCUCAACCUGGGAACUGCAUCCAAAACUGGCGAGCUAGAGUACGUUAGAGGGUGGUGGAAUUUCCUGUGUAGCGGUGAAAGGCGUAGAUAUAGGAAGGAACACCAGUGGCGAAGGCGACCACCUGGACUGAUACUGACACUAAGGUGCGAAAGCGUGGUGAGCAAACAGGAUUAGAUACCCUUGUAGUCC